rnacentral:rRNA from 1 species
AGUCGAGCGAAUGACGAGAAGCUUGCUUCUCUGAUUUAGCGGCGGACGGGUGAGUAACACGUGGGCAACCUGCCCUACAGAUCGGGAUAACUCAGGGAAACCUGGGCUAAUACCGGAUAAUCCUUCGAAUCACAUGUUUUGAAGUUGAAAGGCGCUUCGGCGUCACUGUAGGAUGGGCCCGCGGUGCAUUAGCUAGUUGGUGGGGUAACGGCCUACCAAGGCAACGAUGCAUAGCCGACCUGAGAGGGUGAUCGGCCACAUUGGGACUGAGACACGGCCCAAACUCCUACGGGAGGCAGCAGUAGGGAAUCUUCCACAAUGGACGAAAGUCUGAUGGAGCAACGCCGCGUGAGUGAUGAAGGUUUUCGGAUCGUAAAACUCUGUUGUAAGGGAAGAACAAGUACGUUAGGAAAUGAACGUACCUUGACGGUACCUUAUUAGAAAGCCACGGCUAACUACGUGCCAGCAGCCGCGGUAAUACGUAGGUGGCAAGCGUUGUCCGGAUUUAUUGGGCGUAAAGCGCGCGCAGGUGGUUUCUUAAGUCUGAUGUGAAAGCCCACGGCUCAACCGUGGAGGGUCAUUGGAAACUGGGGAACUUGAGUGCAGAAGAGGAUAGUGGAAUUCCAAGUGUAGCGGUGAAAUGCGUAGAGAUUUGGAGGAACACCAGUGGCGAAGGCGACUGUCUGGUCUGUAACUGACACUGAGGCGCGAAAGCGUGGGGAGCAAACAGGAUUAGAUACCCUGGUAGUCCACGCCGUAAACGAUGAGUGCUAAGUGUUAGGGGGUUUCCGCCCCUUAGUGCUGCAGCUAACGCAUUAAGCACUCCGCCUGGGGAGUACGACCGCAAGGUUGAAACUCAAAGGAAUUGACGGGG